rnacentral:piRNA from 1 species
UGGGCGGACAUAACUUUUUUG